rnacentral:rRNA from 1 species
UGCGCAGGCGGACUUUUAAGUCAGUGGUGAAAUCCCGAGGCUCAACCUCGGAACUGCCAUUGAUACUGGAAGUCUUGAAUUUGGUUGAAGUGGGCGGAAUGUAGCAUGUAGCGGUGAAAUGCUUAGAUAUGCUACAGAACACCGAUCGCGAAGGCAACUCACUAAGCCAAUAUUGACGCUCAGGCACGAAAGCGUGGGGAGCAAACAGGAUUAGAUACCCUGGUAGUCC